AGAGGGUCAAUAUUGACAUGGUUUGUGUAUUUUGGUACGAUGGAUCUCGACACUGUACUAGUGUUUAGGGUGAAGUUCAGUUGUGGAUAAAUGAAAUAACUGACUGGUCUCAGGCACAGUUUAAAAAUACAACAUUGCAGGGUCUGAACCAAUCGACCAGUCUGGGCCAUUCAAGCAGAGUGUCUGCUUCCUCGACAUUAGGAAGCAUGCAGACAAGACUUUACAGUUGAAGAAUGCAUUCUUGCGACACUACCAGGCCAGGAAGAGGCACCCAGGGGAGUGACUCCUGACAUCGUUCAAGCACACUGUCUGAGCAAUAAGUCAUCAACUUACUUUUGACAGUUGUGGAAGCGCUUGGGGCCAACUCACUAAACUUCUGCUGCUGUUAUGGUUUUUCUUCCAUGGACCCACAGACCACCACCUAGCAUUCACCUUCCUGUCUAAUUAUAAUCUUUUGUUUUACUUCCAUUUAGUUUUGAGUUUUGCGCUCUGUUUUAUUCCCUCAUCCUCUGCCAGUUGCACACAAACACACACGCAUAUUUGGAUUCAGACAAAAAGCAAUGCCAAAUCCAAUCCAAAUAUUUAUAGAAGUUGGCAGCAUGGACCAUCCAAGGCAUGCACACAUAGAGUAGAGAAUCAGACAGUGUAAAUAUGCUCUAGCUAAUAUAAAUAUAAAUCUGCUAGCCUAUUUCUAAAUUGUUAUCAAGGCUACAUAAAACAUUGCCUUCUCCAAAUAUAGAAAGGCUACUGAUAAUAACAGAAAUUGAGAAAUAUUUAUAUUCAGUUUGUCAGCAGCAAUCCACACAGCACAGGAUCUCAAAAACUAAAACAAUGAUCCCACAAAAAUGAUCCCAUGUGGCAUAAAUGGUUCAUAUUUAAUGGUUGACAUUAGUUCAUAAAAAUGUACAAAUUAAUAGAUCUAUAAAAAUAAAAGCAAGAAAAAAACAGCCUUUUCUAUAAGAAUAAUAAUAAUAAUAAUAAUAAUAAUAAUAAUAAUAAUAAUAAUAAUAAUAAUAAUAAUAGUAUGUAAAAAUGCUACCUACCAAAUUAUUAUGUAUGUAGCAAAUAAAAGCAAAAUCAACUAAGCUGAGUGCACCAUAUUUAUAAAUUAUUUACAUUUACCAUUUAUAAAAAUCGUUAAAGGCAACUAAGCAGAUAAUAGCUAAAUAGUGUGUUUAAAAUGAGCUUGGCUGUCAGUCACCAUAAGGGUGACAUCAGCCAUAGGCUUUAAGUUUACUUUAUUUCUGAGGUCUGCAGGUUUGGAGGGUUCGACAAAAACAUGUAAAAUCUCAGCAGAUGAUGAGAUCUGUUUUUUUUUUUUUUUUUUUUUCGUUUUGUUUUGUUUUGGGGUUUUUUAUUCCGCAGCAGUGUGUCCACCCCAACCCUGACCAGGACAAACCAUAUACAUGUAUUAAUGUUGUUUUCUAAACACAUGAUAUACAUUAACUCCCAAAGAAUAUGUACCUUUUGGAUGAAGACAUAAAUUAUGUUUACAUAUAAAAAUAUGUAAGUAAAAAUAGGCAGUGAAGAUGACAUAAAAAUGUCCUUUCAUCUUUACUGCAUUAGGCCACACUAUGCUCAAACAUAUCAGGGGUCCUGUUGCAAGCCAGGGUUUACAAGGUUUACAGGGUUUACAGGGUUUGUCCAGUGAAUUUUUAAUAUUAUGAACACAUUCAUCUACACAUUCAUGUUGAAAGCAGGUUAAAAGUGAACAUAAAACACAAUAGUUCAGUGUGAUCAUGUAUUUUUGUGCAAGAAUAAAGUCUGAACAUUAAGCAAUCACCUGUGAGGGCUUUCAUGUUUAAAUGUUGACAUGACAUUUAGACAUCUCAUCACAUUCCUAUCUCAACAUUUACUUUCAUAGUUAACUUCUUAGUGAAGACUUGUGCUCAGCACCCACAGCAUGAUGAAGAACAAAACUGGAAUCUCUGAUAUGUAAUCUUUACUCUGCUUCAACUUACAGAAGCUGUCAGCAGCCCUGCGAUGGGUUGGCACUCUGUCCAGGGUGUAUCCUGCCUUGAUGCCCGAUGACGCCUGAGAUAGGCACAGGCUCCCCGUGACCCGAAUUAGUUCGGAUAAGCGGUAGAAAAUGAGUUUAUAUUAAACAUAAAACAAGAUCGCAAAACAGGCUAAUAACUAGGACAACUCAUUUGUAUCGUGGUGAAUCGUGACACCUAUCCCAAGAAUGCUGGGAGUGAAGUGGAAAUACACACAGCAUGGGAUGCCAGUCAAUUGGAUGGAGAGAGGAAACUACAGAACUUGGAGGAAACAAACAGGAAAAGCUUGCAAGGCAGUAUCCCAGGCUCAGGAUUGACAUGGUGAACUGCAACUAUAGUAAACUGAAGGCAUAGCUUCCCACAUUCUGUCUUCAUGCCCCCACUUGCUUGUUGUGGUUUUUGAAAGAUGUGGCUACCAGGAUGACAUGCACCUCUCCAGAACUAAGUGCAUAUGUAAAGCUUGAACAGCCUGGGUAAAGCUGAUGUGUGCAGAAGCAGCAGCAACACAAAAGCCAUUGUUCACAUAUACAUCUCUUUUCCUGAUGUACAUGUAGAGAAUUGGUCAUGAAAAGUGACUCUCUAAACCUGGCCAUCACAAGAACCUACACGAUUUCAUGCACAGCAAUGUUCAAACUUUCUGCAGGUGCCAUGAUUGGUGUUAUCUAAAAAUUUGACCUUAGAUUCAGAAGUAUUUACUUAUAGUAGACUUUUUUAACAGGCCUUUUAUCAAGGAUAAAUGCUUUAAAAUUCAAACACUAAUCAUAAAGAGGAAACAGGAAAAACACCAGGUUUCCGGAACUGUCUUGCACAGUAUGUGAUUUGAGACUCAGCCAUUUGUUUGGUCUGUUUACAUUGUUCCAGUAUUUAUUUCAGUAUUGUACCAUGCGGUUAAUUUCUGAAUGUGUGUACAAACAACAGACCAAACAGACUACAGGAUGGAUACAUGUGUACAGGAUGGAUACAUAAUGCUAAAUAUCUAAAGAGCAUCUGAAACUUGUGUUUUCAUGCAUCCAGUUUGUCCAACAUGUUUCAGUGUUUUAGAAUAGAUUCCUGGAUUUCCAUAGACUUGCAACCAUUUAGUGGGUUUAUGUGUUUAGUUUGCACUGUUUUAAAAUUCUGAGAUAUAAAACGCUUUAUUUUCAUCUUGAUAAAAAUGUGUGUGCGCUUGUAGGCAAUGUCCUGUUGUCACUACAGCAGUGUGUGUGUAGCCUAAAGGCGAUGUGUUCUCGUGUAAUGGGAUCGGUGUUCGAGACUGAGGCAGUAUUAACGGGGAUAAUUGAGUUGCUCAUUCAAGUGCAACAGAGCUCUGUAAAGAUACACGCAGUCAGACUGGUGAAGCUGCCUCUGUCUCUUCCUUUCUUUUUCUGUCUUUUCCCUUUAUAUGUCUGUCUUUUCUAUCUCUCAUUGAGCUUUGAGUCUUUCUUAGUACCCUGCACUAAAUGUAUAACGUGAGGUAAUGUAAUAUUGCAUAAGGCCAUAAAAUAAAAGGUGUACAUUUGUAGCAAAAUGUUGAGAACGUGGAGGAAGUGUUCAGUUUCUAUUUUUUUCUUCUUUUCUAUCAGUUUUCCUCUCUCCAGAUUGCAAUGUUCUCUCGACUCACAGUGUAGGCUACAUUCUUCUCUAUGGGGAGAGAUUUAUGGCAGAAGGCUUCUCUCUCAAAAGCAGCACAUUGUCCCUCUGCACACCAUGGUUUGAGUGCGUGUCUGUGUGUAGGAGAGAGAGAGAGAGAGAGAGAGAGAGAGAGAGAGAGAGAGAGAGUGUGCAUGCGCAAGAAAGAGUUUGAAUACAAUUCUGACUGCAACAGCUUGUGCAUAUAUACAUUCCAUCUAGCAAUGAGUGUGUGUGUGUGCACACUCACACAUGCAAACAAACAGGGGUGUCGAGCAAAUAAGCAUGUGUGUGUUGCGCUCGCAGGGCGAGGCGGGUGGCUCACGCACUCAGCUGCGACCUGCUCACUCUCUCAUUUUCAAUCUCAGCCCAAUUAAUUUAGCAGAAUUAAUCUCUCGCUGUGCACAGACGCUCCUGACACACACGCACACGCACACACACAUAUAGGCGCGCACACACAUCUCAUCCACACAGCGUGUGGCACAGUGAAACAUGAAAUAGUGUCUCAUGCCACCAUCCAUCUGGCAUCUUUACACACACAUACACACACACACACACAAACCUCCCUCCUCUCUGACAUUUGGAGAUGGGGAGUGAAUGGGUGGGGGGGAUGAUUUCCUCUGCUAAUGAAGAACUCGCUGUGUUCAUGCAGGCAGCAAAAUGAUGGCCGCAUUUGAAGGAGUUUCUCUGUUUCAUGGCCCUUUCCACUUCAAUACUUACACUGCAAAAAAAAAUCUUUAACGUUCCAUUUUAACCCCAAAAUAAUAUUUUGAACAUUAGUGUUUUUAAAAAUGUAUUCAGGACCAUAACAUCUAGUAUAUAACAGCUAGAUAUGACUAAUGUGACACAGAUGAGUU